rnacentral:rRNA from 1 species
GGUGAUACGGAGGGUGCAAGCGUUAAUCGGAAUUACUGGGCGUAAAGCGCACGCAGGCGGUUUGUUAAGUCAGAUGUGAAAUCCCCGCGCUCAACGUGGGAACUGCAUUUGAAACUGGCAAGCUAGAGUCUUGUAGAGGGGGGUAGAAUUCCAGGUGUAGCGGUGAAAUGCGUAGAGAUCUGGAGGAAUACCGGUGGCGAAGGCGGCCCCCUGGACAAAGACUGACGCUCAGGUGCGAAAGCGUGGGGAGCAAACAGGAUUAGAUACCCUGGUAGUCCACGCUGUAAACGAUGUCGACUUGGAGGUUGUGCCCUUGAGGCGUGGCUUCCGGAGCUAACGCGUUAAGUCGACCGCCUGGGGAGUACGGCCGCAAGGUUAAAACUCAAAUGAAUUGACGGGGGCCCGCACAAGCGGUGGAGCAUGUGGUUUAAUUCGAUGCAACGCGAAGAACCUUACCUACUCUUGACAUCCACGGAAUUCGCCGGAGAUGGCUUAGUGCCUUCGGGAACCGUGAGACAGGUGCUGCAUGGCUGUCGUCAGCUCGUGUUGUGAAAUGUUGGGUUAAGUCCCGCAACGAGCGCAACCCUUAUCCUUUGUUGCCAGCACGUAAUGGUGGGAACUCAAAGGAGACUGCCGGUGAUAAACCGGAGGAAGGUGGGGAUGACGUCAAGUCAUCAUGACCCUUACGAGUAGGGCUACACACGUGCUACAAUGGCAUAUACAAAGAGAAGCGAACUCGCGAGAGCAAGCGGACCUCAUAAAGUAUGUCGUAGUCCGGAUUGGAGUCUGCAACUCGACUCCAUGAAGUCGGAAUCGCUAGUAAUCGUAGAUCAGAAUGCUACGGUGAAUACGUUCCCGGGCCUUGUACACACCGCCCGUCACACCAUGGGAGUGGGUUGCAAAAGAAGUAGGUAGCUUAACCUUCGGGAGGGCGCUUACCACUUUGUGAUU